rnacentral:rRNA from 1 species
GACGAACGCUGGCGGCGUGCCUAAUACAUGCAAGUUGAGCGCUGAAGGUUGGUACUUGUACCGACUGGAUGAGCAGCGAACGGGUGAGUAACGCGUGGGGAAUCUGCCUUUGAGCGGGGGACAACAUUUGGAAACGAAUGCUAAUACCGCAUAAAAACUUUAAACACAAGUUUUAAGUUUGAAAGAUGCAAUUGCAUCACUCAAAGAUGAUCCCGCGUUGUAUUAGCUAGUUGGUGAGGUAAAGGCUCACCAAGGCGAUGAUACAUAGCCGACCUGAGAGGGUGAUCGGCCACAUUGGGACUGAGACACGGCCCAAACUCCUACGAGAGGCAGCAGUAGGGAAUCUUCGGCAAUGGACGAAAGUCUGACCGAGCAACGCCGCGUGAGUGAAGAAGGUUUUCGGAUCGUAAAACUCGGUUGGUAGAGAAGAACGUUGGUGAGAGUGGAAAGCUCAUCAAGUGACGGUAACUACCCAGAAAGGGACGGCUAACUACGUG